UACAGAGGGGGCAAGCGUUGUUCGGAAUUACUGGGCGUAAAGGGCGCGUAGGCGGCCGCCUAAGUCAGACGUGAAAUCCCUCGGCUCAACCGGGGAACUGCGUCUGAUACUGGGUGGCUUGAAUCCGGGAGAGGGAUGCGGAAUUCCAGGUGUAGCGGCGAAAUGCGUAGAUAUCUGGAGGAACACCGGUGGCGAAGGCGGCAUCCUGGACCGGCAUUGACGCUGAGGCGCGAAAGCCAGGGGAGCAAACGGG
rnacentral:rRNA from 1 species